GAUGAACGCUGGCGGCGUGCCUAAUACAUGCAAGUCGAGCAAAUGGAUUAAGAGCUUGCUCUUAUGAAGUUAGCGGCGGACGGGUGAGUAACACGUGGGUAACCUGCCCAUAAGACUGGGAUAACUCCGGGAAACCGGGGCUAAUACCGGAUAACAUUUUGAACCGCAUGGUUCGAAAGUGAAAGGCGGCUUCGGCUGUCACUGAUGGAUGGACCCGCGUCGCAUUAGCUAGUUGGUGAGGUAACGGCUCACCAAGGCAACGAUGCGUAGCCGACCUGAGAGGGUGAUCGGCCACACUGGGACUGAGACACGGCCCAGACUCCUACGGGAGGCAGCAGUAGGGAAUCUUCCGCAAUGGACGAAAGUCUGACGGAGCAACGCCGCGUGAGUGAUGAAGGCUUUCGGGUCGUAAAACUCUGUUGUUAGGGAAGAACAAGUGCUAGUUGAAUAAGCUGGCACCUUGACGGUACCUAACCAGAAAGCCACGGCUAACUACGUGCCAGCAGCCGCGGUAA
rnacentral:rRNA from 1 species